CCGGGAAGCAGACCGGCAGAGGAAUGGAGAGGUUUGGGUUCUCUUUUAAUUUCAAGCAAUAGGGUCCCGGGCUCCCCAUCUGUAAAGGGAGGUGUUUGGCCCAAAUGGUGCCGGGGUCCUUCCCACUCUCUCCUUUCACUAAGUCCGUCCUGGGCCAGGUUGGCAAUGAAGGUCAAGAGGCUGGAGACGAGAGCAGGGAGCCCUUCACCAACUCCCACCUCCUCAAAGCCCCGCACAACAGGAGUAACCAGCAAUUACGUAAAGCCUGAUGCUCUGCAGGUUACUUGUUCGUGUAUUAACAAGAGGAGUGAUUGUCAACUUUUUUUGUACAGCUGAGAAAUCUGAAGUUCAGGAAAGUGACCAAGUGCACACAGGGGUAAGCGGCAGAGCUGGGAUUUGAACCCAGACAUUUCAACUCCCAGUUCAAUGCUCUUUCAUUCGCAACAUCCUGUUUUACCGUAGAAGCGGAUUAAAAUAAAAGCUUGAGUUUGAGGGGUGUGGAGGCUUUUGCAUCACUCCUUGAGAUGGCUAGCAAAAGUGGUGUGGCUGAGCCUGGGUCGGGCGUCCUGGCUGGCCACGGGUGCACUGGCUUCUGAGCGGAAGCAGGGCUGGUUUUGAACUUUCCUCCUGCUUGCAGAUGGGGAGACUGAGGUGCUCCCAGAUCUGCUUUCUGCGGCUGCUUCCGGAUCUGACAAAGGGAUUGGAUGGAGGACACAGUAGCCUGUGUUUUUUUAGUUCUCACAAUUGUCUCUGGAGUUCCGGGAGCACAGUGGAUCCCCCAAAUAGCCUCUGGCUUCAAGUUGCCAUCUGCUUACUUUUUGGAAGCCAAGCCCCCCCCUUUCCCUGGAAGAUAAUGGAGAGCUGGCCCCAUUACUUCUGCGUGAGUCACAAGUCUCCACCCUUCUGCUGAACAGGCUGAUGUGUCCCCUGACACACAUUUGAUAAACUGGUGCACGGGCAAAGAAACAAACCCAAAGUACUACCGGAGUAGAGAUGUGUAGAGGCCACGUUGCUUUUGAUGAGGUAAGUGCCAGCGGUAGCCCAGGGACUUCCUUCUGAUAGACCUGACUCACGUGGUGGAGCACCUUCCAGGUGGCCCCCAGAGAGCCAUGCCUCCUGGGAUUCAUGUCCUCGUCAGGCAGGCGCCUCCCACACUGAACUUGGCUGCCCUGUGCAACCAGUAGGCAACAGAAUGAUGGCGUGUGACCUCUGAGGUUGGGCCCUGGAAGGUAUUGAGGCUUCUGCCUUCUUCUGGAUCACACAUGCUUUGGGAGCCGCUAUAUUGUGAGUUCACUCAAGCAGCCUUGUGGAUCGGUCCAUGCAAUGAGGGAUGAAGGUCUCCUGCCAACAGUCAGCUGUGGGACAACAGAGACUCUCAAAAGUGGAGACUCCAACCUGGCCACACAUUCAGAUGACCAUGGCCUCGGCUGGCAUCUUAACCUCCUGAGAUAUUCUGGACCAGAACCACCCAGCUAAGUCAUUCUUGGAUUUCUAACCCACAGAAACUUUGACAUAAGAAACUGUUAUUGUUGUUUUAAGCUGCUAGGUGUGGGGCUAAUUUCUUACACAGCAACAGAUAACUAAUACACCCAUGGUAGGUACACAGGGACUUAUGACUCAGUCUGGACUCAUGUAUAGCUCACAUUUUCCCAGUGUUUCCAUCAAACAUGGUGUCCUAUCCAUCCAUUUCUCCUCCGCUGCUUUGGUUGAUGAGCAGACCACUGGCAUAUAUUAUGCCAUGGUGAGUCAUUUCCACUGUUGGAUCACAGCAGGAACAUUGGGCAGUCUUCUUCAGGCUCUGAAGUUUGCUUUACACUGGUGCAGUGUGGAAGCUGGAGUGCCCACGAAGACUCUUAAACUGUGAAUGGACAUCACGAGUUUUUUUUUUGGUGAAGUUAGGCAGCAGAUUGGCAGGACGACACCCCUUCUCAGGCAGGCUUCCUGAGCCUCAGCCUGCAGGUGAAGACUUACCUCCUCUUUCCAUGGUAAUUCUAUAAGUUGGGAGAGUAGAUCUCAGAAGAGUCCAGUCACAUAGUCACUUAUUAGGGAACAAGAGUUCCCAAAUUUCAGAACAGAGAUGAUGGGGCCAACAUCUCUCGUUCAUCGGAAGCAAGAGAGACAAAUGAAAGUAGGAAGACUAGAAGAGUGUGGUGUGAGGCCCCGUACGUAGCACAUGAAGACAUUGUACAAUAUUUGUUGAGCAAAUGAGUGACCCAGCCAAGGGGAUGAUGGUUUCCCAUGCUCUCCUCUCCUCGGAGAGAACCUAGGGAUGGGGGCCGUAGUCUGUUCUGGAGCUGACGCUUUUAGAGGAACAUGGGAAAACAGCAGCACAAGUACGGA
rnacentral:lncRNA from 1 species